rnacentral:rRNA from 1 species
UACGUAGGGACCAAGCGUUGUUCGGAUUUACUGGGCGUAAAGGGCGCGUAGGCGGCGUGGUAAGUCACUUGUGAAAUCUCUGAGCUUAACUCAGAACGGUCAAGUGAUACUGCUGUGCUAGAGUGCGGAAGGGGCAAUCGGAAUUCUUGGUGUAGCGGUGAAAUGCGUAGAUAUCAGGAGGAACACCGAUGGCGAAGGCAGGUCUCUGGGCCACUACUGACGCUGAGAAGCGAAAGCAUGGGGAGCGAACAGG